rnacentral:rRNA from 1 species
AUUGAACGCUGGCGGCAGGCCUAACACAUGCAAGUCGAGCGAGCGGCGGACGGGUGAGUAAUGUCUGGGAAACUGCCUGAUGGAGGGGGAUAACUACUGGAAACGGUAGCUAAUACCGCAUACCAUCAGAUGUGCCCAGAUGGGAUUAGCUAGUAGGUGGGGUAACGGCUCACCUAGGCGACGAACCCUAGCGGGGAUGAGAGGAUGACCAGCCACAGUGGAACGCAGACACGGUCCAGACUCCUACGGGAGGCAGCAGUGGGGAAUAUUGCACAAUGGGCGCAAGCCUGCGGCAGCCAUGGCGCGUGUGUGAAGAGGGCCUUCGGGGUGUAAAGCACGUUCAGCGGGGAGGCGUUACCCGCAGAAGAAGCACCGGCUAACUCCGUGCCAGCAGCCGCGGUAAUAC